AGGGUUUCAGAUUUCUCAUCUCAUUCCUAUCCGCCUCCCUCUCUCUCUCUCUCUCUCUCUCUCUCUCUCUCUCUCUCGGCGAUUCAGAAACCCCAAGCUCUCUCUCGGCGAUUCGAUUCAGAAACCCCAAGCUCUCUCUCUCUCUCGGCGAUUCAGAAACCCCAAGCAUUCCUACCACUCGACAAUCGUCAGUAUUUUAGACAUGCGCUGGGUUCAUCAACGAUGGUGGCUGUGGGUGGAAGAUGAUGACGUUGGUUGGUGGCCAGAUUGGUACUAUCCUUACCAGAUCUACCUUUUUGUUUGGUAUUUGUGUAGUUUAUGUUUAUACGCUGUUAAAUUUCAUGUGUUAUAAGUUGUUUUAAACAGUUUCGCUACUGUUUUUGGAUGUAUUUAUGUUAGAUCUGCAUAAAAUUUUCAGAUCUGUGUUGGUUCUGGGUUUUUGUAAUGUUUUGUGAACUGAUAUUGUGAAUGGAGUGAUAAAAUGAAGGUUAUUGCUUCAUUUGAUGGGUGAAUAGCUGAAGCAUGAUUGAGAAAACAGUUUAAUGUAGAAUGUUGUAUGUUGUAUUUGGUUUACACAUCAGGUAUUAUGCUUCUUGUAUGUUGUUAAUUUAAACAUGUAAUGUGCUAAUGUGUUUUUACAGGAAUGAUCCUGUGGAUGAGGAUGCAGCCAGCGCAGCCGCAACAACUUUAUAUGCCAUACCAACUGUUAUAAUCUCCGAGAUUCUGAAGGAGAUGGACUGGUAACUCAAAAAUGUUGAUGGUAUGGAUGCUUUUGCUGUCAAACAAGCUUGCAAAACAGCAAAGGGACAUGCCUUGAAGAACAGAUCCAUUGUCACUAUGGUCCAGCAUGUAUUGGAUUACUAGAGCUUAUGUGUUACUGGAGAAAUUUGAUUACAUCAAAUUUUCACUAUGAAAAUGGUUAAUAAGUAGCCAAAAGAUAGGCUGUGCAAUCUUGUGCAUGAAGUGCUUUGAUGAUUCUCAUCAUCAUCAUUAUUUAAGAUAAUCAAAAGAAAUAGAGUGUCAAUGAAAUGAAACAUGCUUUUAUGCACUUGGAUGAAAAUGAAAGUAUGAAAAGAUUCAUGCAUGAUAUUCUUACUUUUGCUACUGAAGUCACUUUUUCUUUACCUAUUUUGCAUAUAUUCGAGUUACAGUAAAGUUUUCUUUACCUAUUUUGCAUAUAUUCGAGUUACAGUAAAGUUUUCUUUACCUAUUACUGAAGUCACUUUUUCUUUACCUAUUUUGCACAUUUUAUAUUUGUGGUUCUCACAUGCUUGGCUUACUACCAGAUGAUGAUCUUCAGCUGCCGAUCAAACUCGGGGCAUUGUCAAGAAAAUUAGGUAUUAUUGUUGUACUACUAGCAGUAGCGUCGAUCUGUGAAUCUGUGGCGAUAUUUGACCCGAUAUAUGAAUCUCGCCAUUCUGCUGCAUUACAGAUGUUUUCUCGAUCGUUUUCGGGGUUCAUUUUACUCCCAGAUCAAGUUCCCCCCUUUUGGUUUGAUGUGUAAGGUUUCGAAAAGUAAAUUUGGUAUCAUGGAGGGAGAAAUAAAGUUUCAAGAAAAACAAAUCGGGGCUUUCUUAAAUUCCUCGAGCUUACUAGAAUUAGCAGCUACAGAUGAUGUUUUUGGGCUCCAGUACAAGGUAGAAACAAACGGUACGAGGUUAGACGAUGUCGGUUUGUGGUACGGAAGAAAAAACAGGUGUAAAACGAAGAUGGGGUUGGAAAAACGAACUCCGUUAAUGAUUGCGGCUGUGUACGGAAGCACAAAUGUCGUGAAAUAUAUAAUCAGUUCCGGAAAAGCCGAUGUGAACAAAGUAUCUGACUCUGAUGGUGCAACUGCGCUUCACUGUGUUGCGGCUGGCAGGUCUUCUUCGUACGUCAAAACGGUGAAGUUGUUACUUGAGGCUUGUGCGGACCCGAAUUUAACAUACGCCAACAGGAACAAACCGGUGGAUUUGAUUGCUCGAGGCGUGUUCUGUUCCAUCGCCAAAAACGGGUUCUGUUGGGCCAAUUGAAAUGGGUUUGAUGAGUCCGUUAGGUGUCGGUUCAACUCCGCCGAUGUCACCUAACGGGAAUAUGUGGCAGAAUAAAUUUGUUAAUAUAACGCCACCCGCAUUACAGCUUCCGGGUAGCCGUUUGAAGACGUCUUUAAGAUCUAGAGAUUUAGAGAUGGAACUUGAGUUGCUACAAAGGCAGCAAAUGAUUGAUAAUUUAUCCACUAAUCUUUACAACAGAUUUGGGGAAAUAAAGCCCACUAAGCUGGAUGAUGUUUACGGUUCGAACCUUCUCAACAACAAAUUCGGCAGAACUCUAACCCGCUUAGAUCAAGUUUCGGGUUUGAUUCAUCGGCUGCAGUGGCACAAGCGGUGAUGAACUCGAGGUCUGGUUUGUUCGCCCCCAAAACAACGUAGCCAGAGUUUCAUUGACCGUGGCGUCGGCAACCUGAGUCUCCGGUCAAUGACUCAAUCUUCCACUUAUUCGGAAUAGGGUUCGCCUGAUGGGAAACUAGAUUGGGGUUUCACAGUGAGGAUGCUAACAAGAAGACGUCAAAAUUUAUUUCUUUGAAUAAUUCAACGUAAUUUGAUGAUCAAUUAAAUCUGAUAUCAUAGUUUUUUUUUUU